rnacentral:snoRNA from 1 species
UGCUGAUAUGAUGACUAGAAUAACUUGAUAGCCAAUAUGAUGGUUAUUUAUCAUGUAUUAGCUCUAGCUGAUCAGGC